rnacentral:rRNA from 1 species
GACGAACGCUGGCGGCGUGCCUAACACAUGCCAGUCGAACGGAGUCGGCCCCGCAAGGGACUGACUUAGUGGCGAACGGGUGAGUAACGCGUGAGCAACCUGCCUUUCAGUGGGGGACAACAGUUGGAAACGACUGCUAAUACCGCAUAAUGCAUUUUGACCGCAUGAUCGAGAUGCCAAAGAUUUAUUGCUGAAAGAUGGGCUCGCGUCUGAUUAGAUAGUUGGUGGGGUAACGGCCCACCAAGUCGACGGGCAGUAGCCGGUCUGAGGGGUAGAACGGCCACAGGGGGACUGAGAUACGGCCCAGACUCCUACGAGAGGCAGCAGUGGGGAAUAUUGGGCAAGGGGGGAAACCCUGACCGAGCAACGCCGCGUGAAGGAAGAAGGCUUUCGGGUUGUAAACGUCUUUUACCAGGGACGAAGAAAGUGACGGUACCUGGAGAAAAAGCCACGGCUAACUACGUG